CUAAUUAUUAAUAGGAAUGAAAAUAGAAAGCCAGUCAUUUGUCAUUUUAUCUUCUAAGAGGGUUGGUGAGCAGGAAUAUUAUUGUCCUGCCUUGAUUGAUGGGGGAACGUGCUCAUGGAGGCUUAGUCCCCUGCUGGUAAAUGGCCUCAUUAGGACUUGGGCCCAGAUUUCCCUAGCUUUUUCUCCAUACCAGGAUGUGGAGGUCUAAAACUAGCUCCAUUUGGAAAUUUUCGAAACUGAAAUAGGAGAAAUCAUACCUCUGCCCACCUAGUGAGAUACUGGAAGGUCAAGACUAACCAUUCCAAGCUCUCUGCUGCUCCUGGAAGCUAAGCUGCCUGCUUUUAAACAUGGCAGAUCUUAACCCUGUGGGGCCCGUCCCCGCUGAGAACUUGAUAAGAGCUGUGCAUCCUUUUCUGUAGGAAAUGAAUCUUUAAUUUUUUGCACAUAGUGACAGGUCAUGAACUCCAGAUCCCACCCAGCUAUGGAUCAGGACCCCCUGGUCUUAGACUUAGGUUGAGUUCAGCCUUUGGCAUGAAUUCAUCCCUUUCUGUGUACCUUUCACUCCCAUGACCUAUAAACAGUGAUCUCAAAUUCCUGUCUCCCAGUCUCAAAAGUACAACAAGAAACUAACGUGGACCAAGGAGCCCAGCAUCUGUGUCUGAUGAGCCGGACAUUGCUUUAGCCAGGCCUACCUGAAGAGAGUCAACUGAGCACAAGACAUUUGGAGGGCAUUCAGAACAGAACUGGAAAAGUCAAUAAAUGUUUACAACCCUUCCCAUUCCCUUGUUUAAGAGGUUGUUUCCAUUCUUAGUGAGGAUGGAUUGUUUAUA
rnacentral:lncRNA from 1 species